rnacentral:rRNA from 1 species
UAAGCGGAGGAAAAGAAACCAACAGGGAUUGCCCCAGUAACGGCGAGUGAAGCGGCAAAAGCUCAAAUUUGAAAUCCUGCGGGAAUUGUAAUUUGAAGGUUUCGUGGUCUGAGUCGGCCGCGCCCAAGUCCAUUGGAACAUGGCGCCUGGGAGGGUGAGAGCCCCGUCUGGCGCACGCCGACUCUUUGCACCGCGGCUCCGACGAGUCGAGUUGUUUGGGAAUGCAGCUCUAAGUGGGUGGUAAAUUCCAUCUAAAGCUAAAUAUUGGCGAGAGACCGAUAGCGAACAAGUACAGUGAUGGAAAGAUGAAAAGCACUUUGAAAAGAGAGUGAAACAGCACGUGAAAUUGUUGAAAGGGAAGGGCUUGCAAGCAGACACGGUUUUACCGGGCCAGCGUCGAAAAGGGGGGAGGAACAAGAACUCGAGAAUGUGGCGCGCACCUUCGGGCGCGCGUGUUAUAGCUCGUGUUGACGCCUCCAUCCCUUUUCGAGGCCUGCGAUUCUAGGACGCUGGCGUAAUGGUUGCAAGCCGC